UGGGGAAUAUUGGACAAUGGGCGCAAGCCUGAUCCAGCCAUGCCGCGUGAGUGAUGAAGGCCCUAGGGUUGUAAAGCUCUUUCACCGGUGAAGAUAAUGACGGUAACCGGAGAAGAAGCCCCGGCUAACUUCGUGCCAGCAGCCGCGGUAAUACGAAGGGGGCUAGCGUUGUUCGGAUUUACUGGGCGUAAAGCGCACGUAGGCGGACUAUUAAGUCAGGGGUGAAAUCCCGGGGCUCAACCCCGGAACUGCCUUUGAUACUGGUAGUCUUGAGUUCGAGAGAGGUGAGUGGAAUUCCGAGUGUAGAGGUGAAAUUCGUAGAUAUUCGGAGGAACACCAGUGGCGAAGGCGGCUCACUGGCUCGAUAAUGACGCUGAGGUGCGAAAGCGUGGGGAGCAAACAGGA
rnacentral:rRNA from 1 species